GUUUGAUGGGGGGACGGAGAAGGCUAUAUCAGCCAGCGAUUGGUUGUGCUGGUGAAAGGUAGUAGGCAGAGAAUUUAGGCAAAUCCGGAUUCUUAAUGCCGAGAACUAAUGACGGGGUACCUACGGGGACCGAAGUGAUAGAUGCCAUGCUUCCAAGAAAAGCCUCUAAGCCUCAGAUAACAUAGAAACCGUACCCAAAACCGACACAGGUGGACAGGGCGAGAAUCCCAAGGCGCUUGAGAGAACUCGGGUGAAGGAACUAGGCAAAAUAGCACCGUAACUUCGG
rnacentral:rRNA from 1 species